GUCUAUAGCUGCCUCUACUGUGUCCAGAGUAUUGACUGGCAGGUUGGCUGGUCUAUAGCUGCCUCUACUGUGUCCAGAGCGCUGACUGGCAGGUUGGCUGGUCUGUAGCUGUAAAGAACACUGAAUCAUCUCUUCCUGAAAAACCUGUGAAUCAUACUGAUGUCCAUAUUCACAAGAAGACCUUAAUUCCUCUAGCCUGGUGGUCCCAGAUCUGUUUGAGCUGUCUUGUCAACUCACUCUCAUGCCGUGAUAGUACAAACAGAUCUGGGACCAGACUAUAAGUUCCCCAUACAUGUUGGCCUUUUUUGUUGUUUAGUUAUAGUCAUGUUUUGGUACCUAUGAUUUACUGAUAAAGAGGAUUUACUGAUUAAGAGGUUAUCCUAUCCAUAAAGUAGUCAAAGAAGACAUUGUUUGGCCCUGGCUGGGGGAAUCAUUGGAUGGGGCCACAAUGUCUCCCGACCCCUCCUGUCUCAGCCUCCAGUAUUUAUGCUGCAGUAGUUUAUGUGUCGGGGGGCUAGGGUCAGUCUGUUACAUCUGGAGUAUUUCUCCUGUCUUAUCCGGUGUCCUGUGUGAAUUUAAGUAUGCUCUCUCUAAUUCUCGCAUUCUCUCUUUCUUUCUUUCUCUCUCUCGGAGGACCUGAGCCCUAGGACCAUGCCUCAGGACUACCUGGCAUGAUGACUCCUCGUUGUCCCCAGUCCACGUGGUUGUGCUGCUGCUCCAGUUUCAACUGUUCUGCCUGCGGCUAUGGAACCCUGACCUGUUCACUGUGACUACUAUUAUUUGACCAUGCUGGUCAUCUAUGAACAUUUGAACAUCUUGGCCAUGUUCUGUUAUAAUCUCCACCCGGCACAGCCAGAAGAGGACUGGCCACCCCUCAUAGCCUGGUUCCUCUCUAGGUUUCUUCCUAGGUUUUGGCCUUUCUAGGGAGUUUUUCCUAGCCACCGUGCUUUUACACCUGUAUUGCUUGCUGUUUGGGGUUUUAGGCUGGGUUUCUGUACAACACUUUGAGAUAUCAGC
rnacentral:lncRNA from 1 species